UUUUGAAGCCACAUUUAUUGUAUGACCGAAGAAGACUACUUCCACAUGUAUGUGAGUCUUAUAGGGAAGUACGCUUCUGCUACACAUAUUUUCAUUGUUUUGUUGUAAAAUGUGAAUGUAGUUUAAAACGUUUACAAAGCCGGUGUAUUCACGGAGGUGAAGGGUUGAAUGUGUUUCAUUAAUUUCAAGCAUAAACUUGCUAGCUGGAGAAGUGGAGAGUUUGUCGCGGUCCGCGUGCGUUGUUGGGCGAUUAUGCAGUUUGUACUGUGGGAAUGAGUGUCGGCAGAGACCGCAUGGUAACCGUGUUUUUGGCGUUGCAAAGGAGUGAGAGAAAAUGUGAAGAGAAAUCUGUGAAUUUGUCUCCUUUAUAAUACAGUAUACUUCCUCGGUGGCACGGUGAAUCAGCUGGUUAAGCGUUGGCCUCACAGUUCUGAGGACCUGGUUUCAAUCCUGGCCCUCCCUGUUUGGAGUUUGCAUUUUCCCCCCUUCCUGCGUGGGUUUUCUCCAGGCUUCGGGUUUCCUCCCACAUCCCAAAAACAUGCAACAUUAAUUGGACACUCUAAAUUGCCCCUAGGUGUGAUUGUGAGUGCGACUGUUUGCCUCAAUGUGCACUGUGAUUGGCUAGCAACCAGUUCAGGGUGUACCCCACCUCCUGUCCAUUGACAGCUGGGAUAGGCUUCAGCACUCCCCACGCCCCUUUUGAGGAUAAGCAGCAAAGAAAAUGGAUGGAUGGAGUAUACUUCCUCUUCUUCGUGAGUCUUCUCAAGAGAGAGGGAAGUACACAAUGCAGAGCUCGACCCAUUAAAAACUGGUGCCAUGACCCGUCGACUGGUCAGCUGGAGCUGGCCUCCUCUGUUCCUGCAUUACACUCAGGCUCUUCUGGGCCCAGUUCUCUGCCAAUUGACGUGUGGGGAUGGAUCAUCACAGCCGCUGCUGUCCUGGCCGUUUGAGAAUCGUCCUGGUGUUGUCUCCUGACUAGUGGGAGUGACGAACCACUGCAAGCUGAUCCCUUUGUUGGUGGUUGAGGAACAGCCUUCGGAUGUUGCAGAGCUACUGAACUCUUAUCUUGGAGUCAGCUUGUUGAAAAAGUCUUAUCCUUUUCAAUGACUGGAAGUCACAAAAUUUUCAUUUGGUGUGUAUUGUGAAUAUAUGGGUGUUUUUGAAAGGGUUUGUCUGAGACAAUUUUCAUUUUCACAGUUCAGUCGUUAAUUUAUUCUGACAGUGUGCGGUAAUAAUAUGGACACAUUGUACACGGGUGGGGCGAGCUGAUGUUGCAAGUUGCAGUGUGGGGAGGGGAAGAGGUGUUCUGAUGUGUACACCUCUGUCGAGGUCCACACUGAGCGGUCAAUCUGAGUUAACACUAGGAAAUUUCAAGAUGGAGGGAAACAGUCAUGUGAAGCUCAGUGAUGUGGUCAAAUUUCGAGCAUUUACUCCAAGUGUAUUUGUCCCACCGCUCAAAACCUGAAUGACUCCAGUGUCGGAGUAUCUUCCAACCAACUUGCUGAGUUGAUCAAGUCAAUUGGAACAGGCAUCAGAGAAAGUAUCAAAGUUAGCUUACAACAAAAGGGUCCUCGGAUCAAACAUGUGCCGUCACCCCUGACCGCAUGUCUCUCACUCCGAUCAGAUUACAACCACUGUCAUUGAUGCUUCCAAGUUAAAAUUGUUGUUGCGCUCUGAAGUCAAUACUCUGCAUUAUUUCAGGGGGGAUGGUUUAGACAAGUACUCUGUGUAUGAGUGGGAGGAGUUGAUGCGGAGUUAUUCUCUGAAACAGGGUUACUGUGGGGCUGAAUGGUCAUUAACAAGACUAUUGGGAAAUGUGAGGGAUGUCACCAAGGUAUGGUUACGUAGCAACCCCCAGGUCACUAACAUCAAUGUGGUUUAUUGUGUACUCAGACGCCAUUUUGGUGACUUUGUACAUUCUGACUUACUUUUGGCUGAUUUCUAUGCAGUCCUACUCCUCACUGGGGAAAGCGCCCUGGAUUGCUGGAUCAGGCUUAAUAAAGCAGACAAAAUGACAGAACAAUGUUUAGUGAGUAAAGGUGAGACUGGGAUUUGAGUCAUCAUGCAGUUAUCAUGUUUGUACGCAAGUGCCGCGACAGAGAAAUAGCUCAGAUAGACGUUUUGUGGGAGCCAAAUGUCAGUACAGAGGGACGUGACAGUUGGGCUUAGUUGGGAAGGGAUAAGCGCUGAGGCUCAGGUGGGUCAGUCGUCAAUACCUGGUUUUGAGGUCACCUCAACUGCUCUCCCCAUUCAUAUUGAAAAGACAACAUGGAAAGAAUCCUGAUCUUAUUGGCGGAGACAUUCUCCAGUAACGUGCAACUAGCUCACGGUCAAACUCAGAACCCAGUACAUAAGAACAGUUGAAAAUGUAAAGUCUGUAGCAGUUCAGAUCACAGCACCUCUGGUCACUGCAGAAUGUACAGACUGUGUUUCAGAUGUUACACACCAGGCCAUAUUGGAGAUAAUUGUAGCCUGUCACCUUUUCCUCAACCUCUGCAUCCGCCUCAUUUCCCUCACAUUCAGGGAAACCCAUGAGCUCCCCUUUGGUGGAGGGCAAUGCAGAGAUGUGCGGUUUUCCCUCCUGUGAAGAUGAUAGUUAGUUCGUGUUUCAGCUGCUUGUGAAUCAGCUCCGCCAGACAAAACGGUGAAUUUUCAGAACAAAAUGAAAACAUGCAAAAGUGAUAGUUUGUUUUACACCACCGUGUUUGCGGGGGACAAGGUCAACAUCCAGGGGAUGCUGGAUAGCAGGUCCAUGGCCAAUUCUCUGCGCGCAGAUCUGGUACUUCGGUUGAGGGAGGCGGGAGUUGUGCACGGUGAUUUAGUGUCCCCUACAGACGUCGCCCUCAUUGAGUAUGGUGGGAAGCAAACAGAGGCAGUCGGAAUAUCUGAGAUAAAACUCAAAACUGCUGUUUGACUCUGAUUAUCUUGUCCCAGUUUUGAUUGUGGAUGGGGAAGUAGAUAGGAUCAUCAUGGGUACUAACCUGCUCAAAAAAAUUAGGAGAUUUAAGAGCAACAAGGCUUACUGGCACGUCAUAGGACAACCAGAUUUGUCACCACAGCAGGAAGCUAGUGAAUUAAUUCGCUUCUUGGCUAAUCUGGAAGGGUGCAAGAGGGAUGAAAUGCCGGAUAAGGUGGGAACAGUCAGGUUAAAGAAAGCAGUCACACUGGAGUUUAUGAGUGAGUAUGUGGUGUGUGGCUGUCUUCCAAAAGGAACUAAACUUUCGGCUGAGACUACUGUAAUUGUGGACCUUAGCUCAUCAAGGUGUGUGCCCCGAAACAUACUAGGGGGGGGGGUUCCUGUGAUAAUAAUCAAACCAACUGAUACCAAAAUCACACUGCGGAGGAACGCCAAAGUGGCUGACGUUUCCCCAUGCAUAGCACUAGAGGAUUUUGAAGAGGUUACCCAGUGGGCAGUGCAUCAAAUGAAGGGAAAAGUGGUCACUGGCAGCAGUCAUGGCAGUUUGAGAGCACAGAGUUCUGAAAGUGACAGUAGGUCAAAUGGGAGUUCCAAACUCAGGAAAUUUGGGUUUCAGGAUUUGCCACUUGAUGAUUGUGAGGUGUCCCGAGCCUAGAAAGAAAAACUGACAAAUUUGAUUGUGAAGUUCGAGAGUGUGUUUUCUAGGCACAACCUGGAUUGUGUGAAAGCUAUUGAUUUUUGUCAUCGCAUUCGGCUGACUGAUGACCACCCCUUUCAGCUGCCUUAUUGCAGGCUUUUGCCAGCCCAUCACCAGAAGUUGAGAGAGACACUGGCUGAGAUGGAGGAGCUGGAAAUAAUCAGAAAGUCAAGCAGUGAGUACGCUUCACCUCUGGUUCUGUGCUGGAAGAAAAAUGGCGAACUGAGACUGUGCACCGAUUUUCGCUGGCUGUAUCCCAGAAAUAUCAAAGAUACUCACACGGUGCCUCAUCAGGCAAAUGUUUUGUCAGUGAUGGGAGGCAAUUCCUUUUUCAGUACACUAGAUUUGACAUCAGGCUACUACAACGUACCUCUUCAUGAAGAUGACAAGUACAUUGCUUUCUCUUCAUCAUUGGGGUUACACGAGUACAACCACAUGCCCCAGGGUCUUUGCUAUAGCACUGCGACUUUCAUUUUCGGGGAUCAGAACUUCCUUUCUCUGCUUUGCUACUUGGAUGAUGUAUUGGUUUUUGGUAGGAUGGAGAAGGAAAGUCUUGAGCGGCUGGAACUACUUUUCAGGUGACUGCAGCAGUAUCAUCUCAAGCUAUCUCCAAUCAAAUGGAAAUUAUUGCGGAGGUCAGUGAAAUUCUUGGGGCAUGUGAUUUCUUGUGAGGGGAUACGCACUGAUCCGGACAAAGUACAGGUGAUAGCAAGGUUUGGGUGAAGCCAAUCUCAUGGAGAGGGACGGAGUGAACCCCUCUGCUGACAAGGUCUAUUCUUUCUUGGGCAUGGUUGUGUAUUACCAACAUUUCAUUGAGAACUGCUCUGUGAUUGCUAAGCCAACUUAAAUCUGGGGGCAGAUAACUUCACGUCACACAUGGUAAAAAGUGCCAGAAGGCUGUGACCGAGCUCAAAUUUUCACCUGGAUUCAAGUCAGGUUAUUGGUCAGGCCAUUCUCACAGUGUCAUGUGAUUUAUUUGAAACCAAUUGUAACCAAUUAUGUACCAAUGUGUACCUAGGGAACAACAGGCGGGAGUCACAUUGUAGAGAAUAGAAUUCAGACAGGCUAGUCAGUUGUUUUUAGAGCGAUGAUCCUUGGUGCCAAACGUGUAUGCGAAGAAACGUGACAAAAACCCAAAAACAAGUUGAAAUGCAGAGUGGUCAGAGCACUUGAGGUAGCAUUGGUCUGCCACAUGCUCAGGAAAAACUGGCCAUAAUAACUUCCUGACGAAUCUUACUUAAACCGUCUCCCACACACAUGUGUAGUUUUGGGGUGCAGGCAGCGUGCUUCUGCAGUUUGCACUUGUUACCAUGUGGUGAGGGCAGGGAUCUCUGGCUAGACAUCAAUAUUAUUGGCAAGCUGUAAAAACAAGAGGCCCAGAAAAAAAGAGGGCUACAACCUUGAAUGCAAAGGAGAAAGGUGCUGUCACAGGGACCAAGAGGAAGAGAGAAUACGCCUUUUAGUAUUAAUUUUCCAAAAAUUAUUUCCUUCCACCCAUUUUCUGAGCCACCUAUGCCCAUAACCCUUAAAAGGGUUAUGGGAGUCCUGGAGCCAAUCCAAGCUAUCUUCUGUCAUCCCAGUAUUGGUUGCCAGCCAAUCGCAGGGCACAUAUAACAACCAUUUACUAUCACAUUCAUACCUACAGGCAAUGUGACUAACCAGAUUAAGAGACAUUUCCCGGUAUAUUUUUUAAUUGAUACAUGUAAAACAAGUGACCAGUAGGUGCAGUAGUUUCUCAGAAAACCAACAAGACCCAGCUUUCAUGAUAUAGACACUCUGCAGGGUGGGGAAUUGGGCAAUUUCUUUAAAGGGGUGUGUUCAAAAAUAGCAGUCUGCCAUUGCCCACAAAGUCAAAACAGUUUUUAACAAACUACUUUGUUCAUAGGAUUUACCAAGCAGUGCUGUGGAGCAGCUGGUUAGAUCAUUGGCCUCACAGUUCUGAGGACCAGGAUUCAAAUCCCGGCCCCGCCUGGGUGGAAUUUGUAUGUGCCUGGGUGGGUUUCCUCUGGGCACUCCGGUUUCCUCCCACAUACCAAAAACAUGCAUUGAUUCGAGACUCUAAAUUGCAGAUAGGUGUGAUUGGGAGUCCAACUGUGGUCUGUGAUUUUGUGCCCUUGAUCGGCUGGUAACCAGUUCAGGGUGUGGCUUCCUUCUGCUUGAAGAUAGCAGGGAUCAGCUCCAGCACUUCUGUGACCCUGGUGAGGAUAAGUGGCUCUGAAAAUGAUUGGAUGAAUAGAUUAAUUUACCAAUCCUUUGAAUCACUAAACUAAUAUUUAAUUGUAUGACCACUUAUUUCCAGAAGAGACAGGAACAUAGAGUGACCUAGAAGAGUGCAGGUAGGAGCACGCAGGUGUAUGAUAUUUUGUGCAGACGAUGUAAUCUGAAGGAGGUUACUGAUUGUAAGGUUGUGGUGGGAGAGAGUGGAGCUCAACAGCAUAGGAUAGUGGUAUGUAGAAUGACUCUAGUAGCAGGUAGGAAGAUUAAGAAGAGAAAGGUAGAGCAGAGACUCAGGUGGUGAAAGUUGAGGAAGGAAGAAUGUUGUGUGGCCUUUCGAAAAGAGGUGAGACAGGCUCAAGAUGGACAGGAAGAGCUCCUGGAAGACUAGAAUACUACUGCCAAGGUACUCAGAGAGGGAGGCAGGAGGGUACUUGAUGUGUGUUCUGGUAAGAAAGCGAUGAAGGCGACUUGGUGGUGGAACCCCAAAAUACAGGAAGUUAUCUAAGGAAAGAGAUUAGCGAAGAAAAAGUGGUACAUGGAGAGGACUGAGGAGAGGCAGAUGGAAUACAUUGAGAUACAGCGUUGGGAAAAGGUAGGGGUGGCAAAGGCUAAACAAGAGGCAUAUGAUGACAUGUACACCAGGCUGGAUACGAAAGAGGGAGAAAAGGAUCUCUACAGGUUGGCCAGACAGAGUGAUAGAGAUGGGAAGAAUGUGCAGCAAAUAAAGGUGAUCAAGGAGAGCGAUGGAAAUAUGCUGACUAGUGCCAGUAGUGUGCUAAGUAGAUGGAAAGAGUACUUUGAGAAGUUAAUGAAUGAAGAGAAUGGGAGAGAAGGUAGAGUUGAAGUGGCAAAUGUGAAUGACCAGGAAGUGGCACUGAUUAGUAAGGGGGAAGUUAGAAAGGCACUGAACAAAAUGAAAAAUGGAAAAACAGUUAGUCCUAAUGACAUACUAGUGGGGCUAUGGAAGCAAUUUGGAGAGGUGGCUGUGGAGUUUUUGACCAACAUAUUCAAUAGAAUACUAGCAGGAGAGAAGAUGCCAGAAGAAUGGUGGAAAGGUGUGCUAGUCCCCAUUUUUAAGAACAAAGGCGAUGUUCAGAUCUGUGUAUGGUUUCAUGCCGACAAAGAGUACCACAGAUGCAUUUUUUGCCUUGAGGAUGCUCGUGGAAAAGCACAGAGAAGGACAGAAGGAGCUACAUUGUGUCUUUGUAGACCUAGAGAAAGCCCAUGACAGAGUACCAAGAGAGGAACUGUGGUACUGCAUGCACAUGUCUGCUGUGGCGGAGAAAUAUGUGAGUACAGGGCAUGUAUGAGGGCACCAAAACAGCGGUGAGGUGUGCCGUUGGUGUGUCUGAAGAAUUUAAGGUGGAGAUGGGACUGCAUCAGGGAUCCGCGCUGUGCGCCUUGCUUUUUGCGGUAGUCAUGGAUAGACUGACAGAUGAAGUUAGACUGGACUAUGAUGUUCGCAGAUGAUAUUAUGAUCUGCAGUGAAAGCAGAGACAAGCCGGAGGAACAAUGAGAAAUAUGGAGGUACGCACUGGAAAGGAGAGGAAUGAAGAUUAGCCGAUGCAAGACAGAAUAUAUGUGCAUGAAAGUGAGGGGCGGAGGAGGAGGAGUGAAGUUCCAGGGAGAAGAUAGAGUGAGGGUGGAUGACUUCAAAUACUAGGGGUCAUCAAUAAAGAGCAAUGGAGGGUGUGGAGGGAAGUGAAGAAAUGGGUCCAAGCGUGGUGGAACAGUUGGCAGAAGUUGUCUGGUGUUCCAUGUGACAGAAGAGUCUCCGCUAGGAUGAAGGGCAAAGUUUAUAAAACAGUGGUGAGGCCGGCCAUGAUGUAUGGAUUAGAAAUGGUGACACUAAAGAAACAACAGGUAGCAGAACUGGAGGUAGCAGAAAUGAAGAUGCUGAGGGUAUCGUUUGGAGCUCAUUGAGCAAUAGCCAAACUUGGAUGUUUUGGAGACAAGGUUAGAAAGCUCUCUCAUGUUAAGAGGCGAGAGAGUGAGUAAUUUGGUAGAAGGGUGCUGAGGCUGGAGCUCCCAGGCAAAAGAGCGAGAGGAAGACCAAAGAAAAGGUUGAUGGAUGUUGUGACAGAGGAUAUGAGGAGAGUAGGUGUUAGAGAGGAGGAUGCACGAGAUAGGCUUAGAUGGAAAAAAGAUGACACGCUGUGGCAACCCCCAACGGACAAGCCGAAAGGAAAAGGAGAAUGACCACAGUUUUUGAUAGCUGCUUCACAUCUGUGUGGCAUGGAGUCAACGAACAUGUAGCACCUAACAGGUUUUAAUCCACUCUAAAAUUCCUUAAAGUGCCACUGACAUCCUUAUAUACAUUUUAAAACAGAUAUUGUAAUGAAAAUAUUCAUGUCAAUGUCUAUACGAAAAAAUAAAUAUUAGCAAAGUGUGUUUCAUUCAUGGGCAAAUUUGCAGAAGUCUCACUCAACAUCCAUGUGUUAGCCAUAUUGCCUGCUACGUCAUUUACAGCUGUCACAUUGGGACAGCCACAUUGAGAAAGAUGCUGUGCCACCUGCUACGGCAGACGAACAACAGAGAUUUUCGGAUUUUUCCGGCACCCCUUCUGACAUGGAAGCUCUUGUCGAAGAAGAGAAUUCUCACAUUCAAGUGAAGUGACCGGGGCAAUAUUACCCUAUUGUUCCGACCCAUAUUUUGAUGAUAUCCGGAUCACUUCUAACUAACAACAAACUCCCCGAUAGUAUGGAGUACGGGAGUGCCGACAACCCCGCGGCCCAGACGCAAUGAGCCACCGUGGCCCGGC